AUUGAACGCUGGCGGCAUGCCUUACACAUGCAAGUCGAACGGCAGCACGGGAGCAAUCCUGGUGGCGAGUGGCGAACGGGUGAGUAAUAUAUCGGAACGUGCCCAGUCGUGGGGAUAACGUAGCGAAAGCUACGCUAAUACCGCAUACGAUCUAUGAAUGAAAGCGGGGGAUCGCAAGACCUCGCGCGAUUGGAGCGGCCGAUAUCAGAUUAGGUAGUUGGUGAGGUAAAGGCUCACCAAGCCGACGAUCUGUAGCUGGUCUGAGAGGACGACCAGCCACACUGGGACUGAGACACGGCCCAGACUCCUACGGUGGCAGCAGUGGGAAUUUGGACAAUGGGCGCAAGCCUGAUCCAGCAAUGCCGCGUGCAGGAU
rnacentral:rRNA from 1 species